UACGGAAGGCAGCAGUGGGGAAUAUUGCACAAUGGGCGAAAGCCUGAUGCAGCUAUGCCGCGUGUAUGAAGAAGGCCUUAGGGUUGUAAAGUACUUUCAUCGGGGAGGAAAAAACAAAACUAAUAAUUUUAUUUCUUGACGUUACCCGAAAAAGAAGCACCGGCUAACUCCGUGCCAGCAGCCGCGGUAAUACGGAGGGUGCUAGCGUUAAUCAGAAUUACUGGGCGUAAAGAGCACGUAGGUGGUUUUUUUAAGUCAGAUGUGAAAUCCCUGGGCUUAACCUGGAACUGCAUUUUGAAACUGAAAUACUAGAGUAUCGUAGAGGGAGGUAGAAUUCUAGGUGUAGCGGUGAAAUGCGUAGAUAUCUGGAGGAAUACCUGUGGCGAAAGCGGCCUCCUAAACGAAUACUGACACUGAGGGUGCGAAAGCGUGGGGAGCGAAACAGGGAUUAGGAUACC
rnacentral:rRNA from 1 species